CCGCAGGAACGCCACCGCCGCACACUUCACGGCACACACGUGCUUCCUGCGCUCUUCCGUGCCCUUCAUCGCUCCGCAUCGCAGCCAGAGACUAUCUUUGAUCAAAUCUGAGUGAAAUGAUGACCAAACUGAGCAAAGAGAGCAAGCAGCGGCUGCAGCAAGUGUUCCAGUGCGGCCAGUUCAUCAUCCGCUGGGGCUUCAUCCCCACCGUGCUGUACCUGGGAUUCAAGCAGGGAGCCGAUCCGGGGAUGCCUGAACCCUCGGUCCUCAGUUUGCUUUGGGGAUGAAGACGCUCCUGACGGAAACUCCAGCCCAAUCCACAAACCUGAUGAAGACGCAGACGAGCAUCUCACGGGACGCUGUGCUGGGAUGUAAAUACCUCACCCAGCUUUCUUUGUUAUUUUAAGACUUUUGCUUCCUCUUUCUAAAACAUUGCAUUGAGAAACACACAAAAUGUAACUGAGCUUUCUUUGUUGUUUUUUUUAUUGAAUCGAAUUAGAUGAUUGUAAACAGUCAGCAUGUUGGUCUCAGUUUUUCAGUUUCAAAUAAACCAAACAAGUUCAUGAAUAUUCAUCAGCACUGAUUUUCUAAUGAGAAAAACCCAUUUACGGGAAAUGAAAGUACUGGCACAUAAAUAUUGCAUUUAUAAAUAUCAGUGUUGCACAACAGUCAAUAAGUUAAAAGCACAGACUCAUAAAUAUAUUAAAUUAUCAUGCCCUGAAUUAAAUAUCUGCAAAGGUCAAUAAAUAAAUAGGAUAGUCAGGUAAACGAGUUCUUGUCGGAGCUCCAGCCUGCGGGUCUCUUCGUGUCUUUUGCUCGGUGUGCAGCUUUGUGUUUGCUGAUGUAAUUGAGGGCUCUGCACGUGUCGAUCAUCACGCUGCUGAAGUUGAACAGGAUCGAAUGCGUCGUGGUCUUGCGCGUCCAUGCGGAUCUGACCGAUAGAGGAGCGCUGGAGAUCUGAUCCGUCUGUCCGUCCGCUAUCUGCAGCUGCAGGAGCAAAGAGACAGACACUGUUACCAACUCUCACGACACAAAUAAGCAACCGCUGCUUCAAAAACAAGCCCAAUAUUUUUUU